rnacentral:rRNA from 1 species
CCUACGGGUGGCAGCAGUGAGGAAUCUUGGUCAAUGGACGAGAGUCUGAACCAGCAAAGUAGCGUGAAGGAUGACUGCCCUCUGGGUUGUAAACGUCUUUUAUAUGGGAAUAAAAUGUUCCACGUGUGGGAUUAUGUAUGUACCAUAUGAAUAAGGAUCGGCUAACUCCGUGCCAGCAGCCGCGGUAAUACGGAGGGUCCGAGCGUUAUCCGGAUUUAUUGGGUUAAAAGGGAGCGUAGGUGGAUUGUAAAGGCAGUUGUGAAAGUUGGGGUCUCAACCGUAAAAUUGCAGUUGAAACUGGCAGUCUCGAGUCCAGUAGAGGUAGGUGGAAUUCGUGGUGUAGCGGUGAAAUGCUUAGAUAUCACGAGGAACUCCGAUUGCGAAGGCAGCUCACUGGACUGCAACUGACACUGAGGCUCGAAAGUGUGGGUAUCAAACAGGAUUAGAUACCCCGGUAGUC